UACAGAGGUCUCAAGCGUUGUUCGGAUUCAUUGGGCGUAAAGGGUGCGUAGGCGGUCCUUUAAGUCUGAUGUGAAAGCCCACGGCUCAACCGUGGAGGGUCAUUGGAAACUGGGGGACUUGAGUGCAGGAGAGAAGAGUGGAAUUCCACGUGUAGCGGUGAAAUGCGUAGAGAUGUGGAGGAACACCAGUGGCGAAAGCGGCUCUCUGGGACGGUACUGACGCUGAGACGCGAAAGCGUGGGGAGCAAACAGG
rnacentral:rRNA from 1 species